rnacentral:snRNA from 1 species
AGAUCACUUGAGCCCAGGAGUUCAAGGCUACAGUGAACUAUGAUAUUGCCACCAUACUCCAGCCUGGGCAACAGAG